rnacentral:rRNA from 1 species
AGUGAACGCUGGCGGUAGGCCUAACACAUGCAAGUCGAACGGCAGCACAGUAAGAGCUUGCUCUUACGGGUGGCGAGUGGCGGACGGGUGAGGAAUACAUCGGAAUCUACUUUUUCGUGGGGGAUAACGUAGGGAAACUUACGCUAAUACCGCAUACGACCUACGGGUGAAAGCAGGGGAUCUUCGGACCUUGCGCGAUUGAACGAGCCGAUGUCGGAUUAGCUAGUUGGCGGGGUAAAGGCCCACCAAGGCGACGAUCCGUAGCUGGUCUGAGAGGAUGAUCAGCCACACUGGAAGUGAGACACGGUCCAGACUCCUACGGGAGGCAGCAGUGGGGAAUAUUGGACAAUGGUCGCAAGCCUGAUCCAGCCAUACCGAGUGGGUGAAGAAGGCCUUCGGGUUGUAAAGCCCUUUUGUUGGGAAAGAAAAGCAGCAGGUUAAUACCCCGCUGUUCUGACGGUACCCAAAGAAUAAGCACCGGCUAACUUCGUG